AGAGUCUGACGAUGGGAAGUUUAUCUUUCCAAGUAGAUAAGAUUGGCAUCUCAAGGAAAGUGUCCAUUCGUAAUUGACGUUGGCUUACGUGUUGAGUUUGGGUAGGAUGUGUAGUACGGUAAAAUGAGAAGGUGACACGUGUAAAGCGUGAAAAUGACCCAUGGACGUGAAAGAACACUAUAAACAGGACCAAAAAGAUCGAAAAAAGGAGUGUAAGAUAUUAUCAUUAUGAUAAUUCAUUGAAAGGGAGUUCCGAGAGUUGAACGACAAAGAGAGUUGAAAGUAAAGAGGAAGGAGUGGAGUCUCCAGUAUUUUUUUCUCUCCCCAGGUUGUUAGGCAUUGAAGUCAAGUAAGGAAUGAGAGUUAGGCGUAGAAGUCAAGUAAGUGAGAAGAAAGAGAAUGGUUGUGUAGACUUGUGUGGUGUGCAAGUCAUGUCAUCCUAUCUCGCGUUUAAGGAGUUGAUUGAAAAGUGCAUCGCUUCUUAACGUGGAUGGCUUCAGCUCAGACCAAGGAAAUUCGUUCAACACGUCACAUUUGUGGGGCCAAAAGAUGACGAGUGUGAAGGAACUGAACCAGAGAAAUGAAUCCCUAAAAAAUGUCCUUGAGUUGGGUUGUUGGUGAUUCAAGGAAAAGGAUGAAAUCAAAGGUCUUAUACUCCUGAAAACCUCUCCACAUAGAGCAAUGCUAGGCGGUGGACGAGAAAAGGUGGACCAAAGUCAACUUUAGUUUUAUGUUCCGCGAGAAAAAAGAAUGUAACUUGUAAUGCAUAAACCUUAUAAAGGUGUUAAAAUAGUAAAGCGAAGUAGUUAUGUACGGGGCGACAAAGCAAAGUUAAAAGUUAUAAAUUUCCGUUGCAAUAAGAAAGUCUAGAUUCGAGGCAAAGACUUUGCAAAAGAACAAGGUAAGUAAGAUGUUCCACUUAUUAGGCAUUCAACACGUCAUCUUGUGGAGAGCUGAGCGAUGAAUGUCUAGGCGACACGCUCUUAUAUGGCGAUACACUCUUAUCUGGUCGCAAAGAGUGAUACUUGGGACAGAGUGUGACAUCUAGGGUAUUGCCUUUGCCUUUUAGUAUUGCAAAACAUCAAGCCUUGUUCGUUGCUGUUCUAGGGUAUUUUGAUAAUUUUCUUUCUUGGAUUCCAAACGAUUCCAAACGAUGCAUUUAAAGCUCAAUUUUCACCUCCGA